rnacentral:rRNA from 1 species
CAGCCGCCGCGGUAAUACGUAGGUGGCAAGCGUUGUCCGGAAUUAUUGGGCGUAAAGCGCGCGCAGGUGGUUUAAUAAGUCUGAUGUGAAAGCCCACGGCUCAACCGUGGAGGGUCAUUGGAAACUGUUAAACUUGAGUGCAGGAGAGAAAAGUGGAAUUCCUAGUGUAGCGGUGAAAUGCGUAGAGAUUAGGAGGAACACCAGUGGCGAAGGCGGCUUUUUGGCCUGUAACUGACACUGAUGCGCGAGAGCGUGGGGAGCAAACAGGAUUAGAUACCCCGGUAGUCCCUGUCUCUUAUAC